ensembl:lncRNA
CCUUGAUGCUGCUCCUGUCUGCACGUGAUCCUCCAGAGCAAGACCAGAGGCAAUCCAGGGAAGACUGCUGGGAUGAAUACCUUCCAUCCUCUCCCUAUGUACCAGAAAUGGGAUCGUCUGACAGUGCCCAAUGGGCUGGAGGCUGUGAGCAUGGAGAGCAAGGGCUGCCUGAGCAGCGGACGGUGAAGAGACAGAUGGGACAUCGUUGGAACGCAGGCCCAAGGAGAGGCCCCGUGCAGCUCUCUUCAGGGACCAUCCCGGGGUGCUCGACCUGUCCCUGCAAGAAGAACACCCAUCACCACCAAUCUCUUCAUGCGUCUGCCCGUUGGCCACCUUUCCUACCCACCACCAGCCCAACCUGCUUCCUCCCCACACAUCUUGGCCUUGUGGCACUCCUAGCCCCACACUGUGGCCAUGCUGCAUCCUUCUAUCUGUCCUGUAUCAUCUUCUGCUUCUCCACUGGUAUGUGGAGCAUGGGCAGACUGUGCCUGUUCUCUCCUCAGGGCCUUUGCUUCCCUGGCUUUUCCCAGCUGGCACCCACAUGCACACAGCUGUGCAGAUCCUUCCCAAAUAACAGCCUUCAUCCUGUGGGAUGGAAUAAACCUCCUUUCCACACACAGACUUCAAUGGCUGCCUCCUGCAUCUUCUUUGUCCUCCUCCUCCUAAGAACCCCCUCACACCAUGAGCACAAAACAUCACCUUGCACCUGGCAGUCCACACACCUGGAUGAUGCCAUCUCCCAUGUCAGCCUUUAGUGCUGAGCAAGAGUUGUCCAACUUCCAAGCACCUCUGAUGGAGCCAGUCUAAUAAAGCUGUGCUAACCCUGAGUCAAAAGUGCCACCUUUGCUACCCAAAUUAACACAAUUGGUUCCCAAAGUGCCACCCAUAGUACCAAGCCUGAUACCUACACUACCCAAAGUGCCGUUUACUGAUACCCAGCCUAACAGCUACAGUACCCCAAGUGCCACCUACAACACCCAACCUAACCCCUCUGGUUCCCAAAGUGCCACCCACAGCAGCCAUGCUAACACCAAUGAUAUCCAACCUAACACCACUUCAAGUGCCACCUACUCUACCCAGCCUGACACCUCCAAUGCCCAAUGUACCACCUCUGCUGCCCAACCUAACACCUGCGGUUCCCAAAGUGCCACCUACCACAGGAUCCAACCUGACAACUGUAAUACACAAAGUGCCACCCACAAUACCCAGCCUAACACUAUGAUACCCAACCUAACACCUAUGACACCCAAAGUAACACUGACACUACCCAAUCUAACACCUAUGACAGCCAACCUAAUGCCACCUCAAGUGCCACCUACUCUACCCAGCCUGACACCUCUGGUUCCCAAAGUGCCACCCUACAGGAUCCAACCUAACACCUGUAAUACCCAAAGUGACACCAGCACUACCCAAACUAACACCUUUGUUAUACCAUCUAACCCCUAUGCUUCCCAACCUGAAACCUGCAAUAGGCAAAUUGCACCUGCAGCUACCCAGCCUGACACCUACACUUCCCCUCCUGCCACUGCCUGCACCCCUUAACUACUGCCUGUAUCCCUGCCAAGAGGACAACCUGCAAAUACCCUACACUGUGUCCCCAGUGUGUCCUUACCUGCACGGGGCCUCUCCUUGGGCCUGCGUUCCAACGAUGUCCCAUCUGUCUCUUCACCGUCCGCUGCUCAGGCAGCCCUUGCUCUCCAUGCUCACGGCCUCCAGCCCAUUGGGCACCUGCAGGGUUCAAAGGCACAAGAUGAUGCUUAGAGUGCAAUGUGCUGUGCUCCUGCCCUUCCCACCAGCCAAGUCCCCUUCAUGUCUCCCUUGUAGUGAGGGGCCCAGAACUUAACAAUAUACAACAGAAAAUGCAUAAUAUAAAUUAAAUACAUGAUAACACAAGUCCUACUACUAAUAAUGAUAAGGGAAGUAACAAGGGGACAGAAUGUAAAGCUAAAGGGGACAAAAGGGAAGGUUAAAACCAAUGAACACAAGUGAUGCACAAUGCAAUGGCUCAGCAGCCACCAACCGAUACCAGCCCGACCCAAGCAGCGAUCGCUGCCUUCCAGGUAACUCCCCCCAGUUCCUAUCCUGGGCAUGACGUGCUGUGGGAUGGGAUGAUCCUUUGGCUCCUUUGGGACAGGUGUCCUGGCUCUGCUCCCUCCCAGCUUCCAGUGCCCCUCCUCACUGGCACAGCACAAGAGUCUGACAAGUCCUGGGAUCGGGCUAAGUACCACACAGCAAGAGCU